AGGAUCAACGCUGGCGGCGUGCCUAACACAUGCAAGUCGAACGAGAAAGGGGGAGCAAUCCCUGAGUACAGUGGCGCACGGGUGAGUAACACGUGACUAACCUACCCUCGAGCGGGGAAUAACCAAGGGAAACCUUGGCUAAUACCGCAUAAUACCUACGGGUCAAAGGAGUAAUCCACUUGAGGAGGGGGUCGCGGCCGAUUAGCUAGUUGGCGGGGUAAUGGCCCACCAAGGCAGUGAUCGGUAUCCGGCCUGAGAGGGCGCACGGACACACUGGAACUGAAACACGGUCCAGACUCCUACGGGAGGCAGC
rnacentral:rRNA from 1 species